rnacentral:rRNA from 1 species
UACGGAGGGGGCUAGCGUUGUUCGGAAUUACUGGGCGUAAAGCGCACGUAGGCGGCUUUGUAAGUUAGAGGUGAAAGCCCAGGGCUUAACCCUGGAAUUGCCUUUAAGACUGCAUCGCUAGAAUCGUGGAGAGGUGAGUGGAAUUCCGAGUGUAGAGGUGAAAUUCGUAGAUAUUCGGAAGAACACCAGUGGCGAAGGCGACUUACUGGACACAUAUUGACGCUGAGGUGCGAAAGCGUGGGGAGCGAACAGG